AUUGAACGCUGGCGGAAUGCUUUACACAUGCAAGUCGAACGGUAGAGGGGGCAACCCCUCGAGAGUGGCGAACGGGUGAGUAAUAUAUCGGAACGUGCCCAGUCGUGGGGGAUAACGUAGCGAAAGUUACGCUAAUACCGCAUACGAUCUAAGGAUGAAAGCGGGGGAUCGCAAGACCUCGCGCGAUUGGAGCGGCCGAUAUCAGAUUAGGUAGUUGGUGGGGUAAAGGCUCACCAAGCCAACGAUCUGUAGCUGGUCUGAGAGGACGACCAGCCACACUUGAAGUGAGACACGGUCCAGACUCCUACGGGAGGCAGCAGUGGGGAAUUUUGGACAAUGGACGCAAGUCUGAUUCAGCCAUUCCGCGUGCAGGAUGAAGGCCCUCGGGUUGUAAACUGCUUUUGUACGGAACGAAAAGGUCUCUCUUAAUACGGGGGACUCAUGACGGUACCGUAAGAAUAAGCACCGGCUAACUACGUGCCAGCCGCCGCCGUAA
rnacentral:rRNA from 1 species